rnacentral:rRNA from 1 species
GUUGAACGCUGGCGGCAUGCCUUACACAUGCAAGUCGAACGGCAGCACGGGGGCAACCCUGGUGGCGAGUGGCGAACGGGUGAGUAAUACAUCGGAACGUGCCCGGUAGUGGGGGAUAGCUCGGCGAAAGCCGGAUUAAUACCGCAUACGACCUACGGGUGAAAGCGGGGGACCGCAAGGCCUCGCGCUAUUGGAGCGGCCGAUGUCAGAUUAGGUUGUUGGUGGGGUAAAGGCCCACCAAGCCGACGAUCUGUAGCUGGUCUGAGAGGACGACCAGCCACACUGGGACUGAGACACGGCCCAGACUCCUACGGGAGGCAGCAGUGGGGAAUUUUGGACAAUGGGCGCAAGCCUGAUCCAGCCAUGCCGCGUGCGGGAAGAAGGCCUGGUGUAACG